UGUAAACUAUAAUUUCCCUACUGAUCCUAUAGAACGCUACAUCUUAUUUUUUCUUUCAAAUUGUAUACUUGUACCCAUUAGUCAACCUUUCUUCAUCCCCUUUGAUUAUUUUUCAGAAUUUCAUUUUGAUUUAUUUAUAGUGUUCCAAGUACAUUGUUUCUUCUGGUUUUUGUAGUGGUUGCUCUAGGCAUUACAAUAUAUACACUAACCACAGUAAACUAGUAUUGCUGUUUAACCACUCUGAAGUGUGGAAAACUUACUUCCAUUUUGAUACCGUUAGCUUCCCUACUCUGAAAGUAUAGUUGUCCUAAGUAUUCCUCUGCAUACACAGAGCACUACAUCACAUGAUGUUAUAAUUUUUGCUUCAACCAUCAAGUACGAUUUAGUAACUCAUAAGCAGAAAGUCUAUUUACCCCUGCUUUCACCCAUUCUGUUGUCCUUUCCUUCCUGAAGUUCCAAACCUUCUGUCAUUAUUUUAUUUCUGUUUGGAGAACCUCCGGUAGUAAUUCUUUGAGGAUAGGUCUGUUAGGGACCCACUCUUUUAGUUUUUCUUUAUCUGAGAAUGUCUUAUUUUCCCUUCAUUCUUAAAGGAUACAUAUGAGGGAUAUAGAAUUUAUAGUUGACGGUUCUUUUCUUUUAGCACUUGCAAAAUGUUGCGCCCCUUCCUGCUAGCCUCCAUGGUUUCAGAUGAGCAAUGUGCUGUCAUUUGGACUGGUGUUCCCCUAUAGGGAAAGAGAAACAAAAUCCAUGGUGGAUCAAGCUGAUGAAAAACAGCUAAUGUGUCCUGAAAUCAGUUGGCUGAACCAGUGAGGUUCAUCACCCUUUUCUUGGGUUAUAUUUGCUCAUAAUGUGAAGUUAGUUUGAGAUUUUGAAAGCAGUUUGGAAGAAUCACUCAUGGUCACAGUCUAUUUGCAAACCUAUCAACGCUGGAGAUUUGAUGCUGUCACUGAGGUACACACUGCUCAAAGCAACACAGAAAUUCUGGCAGGGUCUACGCAUGGCAGGGGCUGGAAGGGACCUGCCCAGAUUCCAUGAGAACACGCAGAUCAGGGCAGCUCUCUGUGGAGGCAUCCUGCGGCACCAGGCAAGCAAGGCUUUCUGCUGGGAACAGCUUGGGUGUGCCUGCGAGCUGUGGAGUGAGGCCCCUAGUCAGUGUGGAAUCAAGAGUCCACGAAGCAAACCUUAGAGAGAGAGACAGAGGAGGAAGAGGUGAACACCAAUCAGUGGAGCUCAAGAGAAAAAGAAAAUAAAAACACAGCACCACUGGAAGAACACAUGGGUAAGGGACUGAGACUCUGAACAGCAGGAGGUUUUUCCAUCCCAGACAUCAGCUGGGGGAGGAACCGUGUUCACACCGGAGCGGGGCAGGGAGUUCCGCAGGGCUGCUGGCUCCCUUUGAGGAAUGGUUACUGAGCACUUCACAGGAACUGCCUUCCGAAGCCCUCACGAUCUCUCUAUGGGGAGGGCUCUGGUAUUACCCUCAGAAAGCUGAGGCCAGGAGAGAACAGUGAAGGCCCGUGCCAGGGUGGCCAGGCAGGAAGGAGCAGAGUGUCCCUUCCCCAGCAUGUAAUGCCUCUAAGCAUCUUCAAGGGAGGCUCAGGAGUGACUGUGAUACCCCAAACCCAGCAGGUCAAGAGAUGCCACGGCUCACCAUGCUUGUCCAUAACCACCCUGGAUGGAGGAAGGACACAAAGAUCUGAUUGCAUCUCCUGGGCUGUGCAAGGGAGGAGGGGAACUGCAGGAAGGACUUGGGCCAGGUGCCCAGGCAACCCUUCUCCUAGCAGUGGGCGUGCAUUUGGAAAUAAAAGGAAGACAUGGCAAGGAAUGCCUGGUAACAUUACAGGCAUCCAAAACUGGGAUCUGUCUUCCUGGGUCACAGCCCAAGAGCGCAGAUCGAUGGGGUCUCAGCAUCGCUAGGAUGCACUUAGCAAAGACCAGAAAAAUGUGUUUGGCCAGAGCCUGCACUGACCUGGCUCCGAGGGCUUGCAGCUAGAUUUGAAGGUUGGGGUAGGGGGAAUAGAAGGGCCAAAGAAGAAAAUCAACACUAAACUGCAUAAAAGGAUGUGGUAAUGGAUACUUUCUGCAAGGUGGAAGAAGUAAUAGAAAAGAAGGGGUCCAGGGUAUCCUCAAAGAGACAUAACAGGGUACUGGGCUGUCACCAACCACCCUGUGGGGAAGGACCCAUAACCAGAACACAGCCACUAAAAGGAAUUCUUCACCCCAAAGAAACAGACAUUACUGGAGUGAGUGGGGUUUGGGAAACCAGGAUGGGAACCCAUCAACAUGAGAACCCAUGGAAGGGGGGAGAAACUAAGUGCUUUUCUUAGGUGUAAGAAUAUAAAGGCUGCCCCGUCAGAUGGAGAAUGUGACCAUGCUUUCCUCAUGCAGGUCGCAAAAUGAGGAGAGAAAUGAGGAACGAGCCGGCCUGAGGACUUCGGCCAGCUGGUCCCUGUAUGAAGUCCGCCAGGGCAGACCAUCACUCACACAAUCUUGUUUUCUUUGUCCCUCCCAAAUCCCAACACCAACUCCUCAUCUGGUCCCCAAAACCUCACUGGACAUCAGGUCCUGCUUGCCUAAGUGCAGUAAAAAUCAAACUUACUACAUAUUGAGCACCUUCUACACCCAGAUGCUGUACCAGGAAUCAUAUUACAUCAUCCUCUUUGGUUCCCACACCUACAAUAUAAAGUGAAGAUUGAUGUCCCCAUGUGAGAAAUAAGGAAACAUGUUCAGAGAGGUUAAGCAACUUGCCCAGAGCUACACAGUAGGCUGGCUACUCUCUGACUGUUUGAUCCAUGCUCUGUUCUGCUCUGUGCCUGAGGAUGCUGACUCCCGCACAGAACACCAGCUGUAUUUGCUCUCCCUCUCCCUGGCUCAGCCCCUGGAAGUUCUAGCAAAGGUAGGAAGAAGGAAACUGGGAUAUUAACACCCCUGCUUCCUUCACGUAGGGCCUUAGUUUGGCAGAGGUUGUCAGGCCACUGUUUCUGUCCCUUGGUCUCUCUCCUCUGGCCACAACUCUUACCAAGUCCUAGUCAUUCACCAAGUUUCUUCAGGCCUGAAGGUGGGAACAGUGUCCCACGACCGCUAGUCUCUGGGUGAAGCAUCACCACAUUUUGAUGGUCCCAUGACCUCCCUAUACCUCUGUAAACAGUCCCUUCACUGAAUAUAUUCAGCAACCCUCUGACCAACAGGACCUCACUGCUAAGCAGAGCUCAUGCUAGCAGAGCUUGCAUUUGAACCUGGAUUGGCUGGACUGCAAAGCUCGGGCUGUUAAUCACAGGGCUAUACUGUGUGGUGGGUGACUUAAGCAAUCAAGAAGUACAUAAUCAUUCCUGGAAUUAAGCGUGUACGCACACGUGCACACACACACGCGCACACACACACAGUGGGCAGGAAUGUUUCAAUGUUGCUUUCAUCCACGUCCCUGACAGCCGAGUUCAGAGUGUCCAAUUAGAAUUUCUGGUUAUGCAAUUUUUCUUUGAAGUGAUAAAUUGGUGGUAGAAAGUUCUGAACUUGAUACAUCUCUGGGUGGCUUCAGUUGAUUUCAAUCUGUGGUAGUGUCUAGAUGACUCUGCCAGGACUUGGCUUUCUGGCAGGUCUUAUGAAACCAAGGGCUGGGCCAGCCAGUUCUAUAAUAGUUGCUCCAAACUGUGUAGAUUCCAGGGACCUCCCCAGCUCAGAGCUAAUAACUAACACGAUUGACUACAGACGUGUGUUUUAAUCACAGAAAUCUGAAAAAGGUCCCAAGAGAAAAAAGCUUACAACUUUCAAAAUCUUUUAGACUUUGCCUUUGGUGUUAGACCAGUUCUUCCUAGGUUGUUCACUUGGAUUCACUCUAGAGCAAGGUUUCUCAGCCUGGGUACCUGGGUAUUCUAGGUUGAAUAAUUCCUUCUUCUGGGAGACUGUCUCAUGAGCUGCAGGAUGUUUAGCAGAAUCCCUGGUUUCUACUCACUAGAGGCUUCAGCACCAACCUUCCACUUCUCCUCUGCUAUUGUGGCAACUGAAAAUGUCUCCAGACACUGCCAAAUGUCCCCCAGGAGAGCAAACUCACCCCUGGUUGAGAAUCACUGCUCUACAGGAAUAGUUGCAUGAGGAUGGGCACAAACUCAGCUUCACAAAAGAAAUUCUACUCAAGCCUCACAAAAGAGACAGCUUAUCACUUGCAAAAUACUGAUUCAAUAGCCUAAUUUUUAUGCCUUAAAAGUUAAGCCAUGCUUUGUCCUCAAGUUUCAGAGUUUGAUUUUCCAGAGGUUCAGACCUAAGCCCCACUGAAGAUGACUUCAGAGAUGGCUUAGGCCUGAACCUGCUUGACCCGAACAAUUUUGACCAUGUAUAGUCAAAAUUACCUUCAAAAGUCCCUUUGGACAGUGCUACCUUAUAGAUCCCAUAACUUCUCCAUGGUUUUGACAAUCACGGUUUUAAUUUAGCGUCAGUGGAACUCCUUAAGUGCUGGGAUUGCAUUCAUGGGCUGUGUUACCCCCAAAUACAAAUCUGUAAACUCUAAACUCACAUUUGAAGCAGCAAAUUGUUCAUACGACAAGGGGCACGUUGGAAUCAGGAAUGGUUCAAGGAAAAGAAGAAAAGAUCUAUGCUCCUUGUGGUCAUGCUCCCUCAGGGACAUGCACUUAAUAUGAAUGUUAGACAGGAUUAAAAGCGCUAUUUAAAUUAGAAUUUCCACUUCCCACUCUUGCCCCUCAGAUUACGCUUCUGAUUAAGUUCACUUGCUUAAAUAUGUAUAUAAUGCUACUGUAGUAUCAUACAGGAUAAAAAAGAAGCAAUUUCAGGUUCAAUUAUUCUCAUAUUGAUAACAUAUAGGGUGACUAUUCUAUUAGAGUCAGAUCCUCAGAAAGAAAUGGCCCAGAUAUGUCAACUCUCUGUAAAAGUUUCCUCUCUAUUAAUUAUACCAACAUCAUUUAUUCAGUCCUUAUGGAGUGGCCUGCAUAGUCAAAGAUGUGUCCUCCACCCAUGGCUCAUGUAAUAAAUUUCUUCCUGGGUAGAGAG
rnacentral:lncRNA from 1 species